CAGAACUGAAGUAAGUUCUCCUUCCUGUAACCAGCAGAGUGUUUUUCCAGGUGGCUGACCAGGAUCACUGAGCAAAAGACAAUCACUCCAUGAGGCAGCCCUGGGGCACUUGCCUGGCAUCAGGAGCUCAACGCAGAGAACUGAAUGCUAAUGUUUAAUGUUUGUGCACUGGAGGGCACACAUCAUUCAAAAUUUGAUGGAGGCUGUUUAGAAUCUAUUUUAAUCCCAGAAGAUGACAUGCUCUUGGCGUGGAUAUGGGGAUAGCCAGCUGUAUUGAAAAAGGAUGACUACACAACAAAAGAAGAAAGGUGAGGGUCACCUUCAAGGGGAAAGGUAAGUGGGUGUCAUGGUUGAUUCCAUUCCGUGCUGGGGACUCCCUUGCAGGGCGUUCCUUGGGGGUGGAAUUUUUUGACUUGUGCUUUAGUCAAAACAACCAUGGGUCUGAGGAAAGAGGAGAGGAUGGCACAUGAGUAGGACAGAAGUGAUCGCUAAGGCUGGGAAAUGGCUGUCACUCACAUAUUAAAAUAGCCCAAAAGCCCAACAUUAGGGUUAUUAGUGAAAAUUUUUUCAAGUUUAGCACAAUUUUUUUGCUCUAUAUCUUAAAUAGCCUCACCAUUGUAUUAAACAUUUUUUAUCGUGGAAAAAUAUACAUAACAUAAAAUUUACUAUUUUAGCCUUUUUUUUUUCUGAGACGGAGUCUCGCUCUGUUG
rnacentral:lncRNA from 1 species